rnacentral:rRNA from 1 species
AUGGCGGAUGCCACUAGCGCAGGAGCGACGCCUCUCCUACCUGGCCUCCCGGAUGACAUCGUCAUCUGGGAGAUCCUCGUCCGCCUGCCGCCCAAAGCCCUUCUCCGCAGCCGCGCCGUCCAUCCUUCCUGGCGCCGCAUCACCUCCACCCGCGAUUUCCUCCUCACCCACCACGCUCGCCAGCCCACCCUCCUCGUCGCCUCCGGUCACGAUGACGGCAGCGGCGAAUACUACCGAGACAUCAUUGUCUUCGGCCACCCGGCCGCCGCCGACGCCCAGCUCGAACACUUCACCCAGCUUGAUGAGAGGGACUGCAGCGUGGUGGCCUCCUGCGACGGCCUCCUCCUCCUUUCCUAUGAGACGGAGGGCGCCUGCUUCUCCAUCUGCAACCCGGCCACUCAUCAGUGCGCUCCCCUGCCGGUGCCUUGUGACCUCAUGAUGCCCUUGGGAAUGUACCGGCACCACCCCACGGGCGAGUACCGGAUACUGAUGUACGAUAAAAACGAGGAAGAAAUUGAGGGUGAAAAUGAGGAAAUAUAUGUCCGUGAUGGUGGUUGCUGCAUCUUCGAAUUGGGUUCCGUCCAGCCAUCAAGGAACAUCGGGUACCCGCCGGAGGCGGAACAAGUGCUUUCACGCUGUGGCCAUGGGGCAGUCGUCUUGUUACGUGGCAACAUGCAUUGGUACCUAGAGCAACGUGAGAAUGGAGGCGACAUGGUACUGGUAUUCGACAUCGCAACCGAGUCGUUUCGGCAUAUGCAGGCUCCGGUUCUUCAAGUUGCUCCAGACUGUCCUCUCUACAAUGACUUGUUUGACAUGGACGGCACGCUCGGCAUGUUCAGUUGCAAUGAUGAUGCAGCUAUCGUCGAUAUCUAG